AUUAACAUCUCUAUUCUACAAAAAAUAUAGUUCAACCUCCAAAUGACUUUGUUGAUGUAAUCUUCAUGGGUUUCCAGAUCAUCUUCUUCAACACAAUGAUUUCUUUUCUUUUGACAAACAAAUUUCUUUUGCAACCUAUAAACAAAUAUAAAAAGAAUAGAAAACCUCUAAAUUAUACAUUUAACAACCAACAAGUACAAUUGAAACUAUAUAUAACUUUCACAAAAAAAUUGAAGGAAAAAAAAACCCUAGAACCAAUAUAAAGCAAAAUAUAGAAAAAUUUGAGAAACAUAAACAUGAAUUAAAGAAAAAUAUAUAGUUAAAGCUUAUCACUUAAGGAUAAAAUGUCUUUCAUUGAUGAAUAGAGAAACUAAGGAUGAACCAAAUUGAAUGACACCAUGAUGAAGGGCAAGAAUGACUGCAACCAUCUGCAAACCAUAUCAAAACAAUGUAAUGGAAUAGAAAAAUAAAGAUCAUACUAAAAAUCAAACAAUAUGACAAAUAAGUGACCAAACCUGCAUGCUAGUUGAAAAAUUGGUGAUGAACCUCAUUCAGAACCUAAAAGUGCUAGAAAAUAAGAAGCUAAGUUGUCACAUUGAUUCAUAUCAUAAAUACCAACCCCUUUAUAUUAGCAUCUAGUCUUUUAGGAAAAGAAAAAUAAAUGUGAAAUGUUAUAAAUAUUUUAUCAUUUAUUCUCAUAUAUAAACUAAACAGAAACAUGGACAUUGGUUCAUUAAACUAAUACAAAUCUACUUUUUCGCUCAGAUUCUUAAAGACAAAACAGAGCAUAGUAGAUAUACCAUUCCAAAAACAAGAAAAAGAGACAUUGGUUUACAUACCAAAAACAAGAUACUAGUGAACAAAACAAAGCACUAUCACCUUAAGUUGUAUCCGAUAUUCAAAUUAUUCUAAAAAACCCUAAUUCCCAUAGCUAAAAAUAAAUAAAUAAACUUUGAAAAAAAACCUUUGCUAUAUUGGAGGAACAUAAACUAAAAUUCGAGUCUUUCAUUUUGCUUCAAUCUAUAAUUUAUUUUAUCACAAACCAAAUAACUUAAAAUAAAGGGAAUUAAAAAUUAGUUUUGAAAAAGUAAGAGAAAAUAAAUAGAAAAGGAAAAAAAUAAAAGUAAAUAAAGAUUAAACAAGCAAUAGAUAUGAUGUAACCAUUUAAUACCCUAUAGUAUAAUAAGAUAAUAAAGUAUAUUUUAAUUUAAUCAAAUUAAUAUUUUCUUUCCCUCAAUAUCAACUGUUUAGCAAAGAAGGAAAUCGGAUUUUCUAUCACUUAAGAGAUAAUAUUUUACUUCUUUUUUUACCAAACAAGCUUUUAUCAUUAGGCUUUCUUGUUUUGGAAUAUACAAUAGUUCAAUUCUCAUUUCUACUUAUGCCAAAAUACCAUCUCCAAUAUGGCCUAUGUUGCAAUUUCGAUGAAUAAUAUUUAAAUUGUUGUUAUUUCCUUGAGAUUAAAAUAGAUUUGAUCUUACCUAGAACAACCAAUUUUUCUUAGAAUUUUAAGUUUCGAAAAGCAACUCUAAAUAGAAUGAUCAGUUAAGAAAAUUACAAAUUCCUUAAAGCUCAAGAUUUUUAUGAUAGAAAAUUAAACUUUUUAUACAUAGCACCAUAGUCAAACAUGACAUCCUAACCUAAAAUGAAAACAUUAAUUUAAAAGUUAUCUUUCUUUUUUAAUUUUAAUCUAAUUAAAAAAGUAAAUAAUAUAUGAAGAAAAAAUAUUCCUUUUUCAUCAUUUAUAAAAGGAAACAAAAGUUUUUAUGGAAAAUUUAAGAGGUACAAAACUAAAUCUCCCAUAAACCACAAGCGGGACAACCACUCAACAACACAAUAAACAAAGUCAAAGGCCAUAAAUCAAAAAAAUAUAAAAGGAAAAAUAAAGACACAUAUAACACCAAAAUAGAAUGCAAAUAGUCAAUAAAUUUUGUGGCCUAUAGUGGGUUAGUGACCGGGUUUGGAGCCUUUCAAAGGACAAAGCAAUAAAAAAAUGAACAGCAACACCUUACUUGGUGAUUUUUCAAAUUGGUUUCCUCAUUGAUUAUAGAAGUCAUCCCAUUUGUAACAAUGUAUUGGACAUCCCACCAAUAAAUUUCUUUAGUCUUCAAAGCAUUCAUCACAAAUCUACAAUAUUCCAUCAAAAUUAAAAACCAGGCACAAGCAUGUAAGUAGAUAUGGCCACUGUCUAGAAGAGAAAAUAAACUCAAUAUCUUAGACACAAUAUUUGAAAAGAAAAAAAAAAAACAGGUAGCAAGACCUUAAUUUAGUUCCAUUAUUUAUGGAUAGUGAAUUUUGGAACAAAAAUUAUUUAAAGUUUCCCAAAAAGAAAAAAAAAGGAAAUAUUAUUAUUUUGAAUAUCUAUUAUUGUUAUCAUCUUUUAAAAUGAGAUGAACUAGAUGUUUCUAAAGAGG
rnacentral:lncRNA from 1 species